rnacentral:rRNA from 1 species
GACGAACGCUGGCGGCGUGCUUAACACAUGCAAGUCGAACGGAAAGGCCCUGCUUUUGUGGGGUGCUCGAGUGGCGAACGGGUGAGUAACACGUGAGUAACCUGCCCUUGACUUUGGGAUAACUUCAGGAAACUGGGGCUAAUACCGGAUAGGAGCUCCUGCUGCAUGGUGGGGGUUGGAAAGUUUCGGCGGUUGGGGAUGGACUCGCGGCUUAUCAGCUUGUUGGUGGGGUAGUGGCUUACCAAGGCUUUGACGGGUAGCCGGCCUGAGAGGGUGACCGGCCAAAUUGGGGAGGGAGAACGGGCCGGGCUCCUGCGGGGGGCAGCAGGGGGGAAUGUGGCAAAAGGGGGGGAAGCCUGGAGCAGGAACCCCGGGGGGGGGGUGGCGGCCUUGGGGUUUGAAACCGGUUUCCGCCGGGGAAGAGGUGGGAGUGAGGGAAAGGGGAAAAAAAGCCCGGGCAAACUACGGG